UUCACCACCGCCGUAGCAGGAAGUGAAAUUAAUCUCACUUCCUGCAAUUGAGAUUGAGAUUAAUCUAUUAAAAGACGGUAAAUUGCGAAAAUAAGUUGCUAGAUAUCGAAAGUUUCAGUUGUUGUGGAUAAAUGGGCAAAUAUAUAUUUUCCCACAGAACAUUUAAAGAACUGCGUACAAUUAAAAUACGCCAAAAUAUCCAGGCGGAGAUUUUACAUUUAGUACAUAAAGGGUUAAUGAUAUACAGAUAAAAUUGUAUUGAGUACUUAUUUUUGUGGCCUGCCACUAGUUUAAAUUUAACAGUUUUUUUCACCAGGGCAAAAAGUUUUAACACCCUUGCCUUUAAUUUUAAAUUAAAGACAGGGGUGCUUCAGAGUGCAUGUUGGGGUCAAACAUCGAUGUCUGGAUGCUCUAAUUCACCCAGAAGGUCUUCUGUUGGGGUGAAGUCAGGACUUCAGUUAUCCAUGUCUUUUAGGUUUUUACUUUCUGCCUUCAUGUUGGAAAAGGGAAACUUCCCUAAAAUGUCCCCACAAACGUUGGAGCUUGAAAUCAUCUGAAACAUUUUGACAUCCUCCUGCAUUCAAAGAUCUCAUUUCACUGGAGCUAAGGAACCGGGCCCAAAAUCCUGAAAAACAGCCAUGUAAUGUAAUUUCCUCAGCACCAAGCACUCCACUUGUCAGGCAAGUGCCAAUUCUCUGGGAACCGCCAAACCCCAACUUGUUUAUUGGAUUCCCUGAUCGUCAUGAUUGUUUCGUGACUGCAGAGAACACAUUUCCACUGCUACAUCCAACAACUUGGAUCACUCUUAGUUGCUCUGUAUCCAUUACAAAUGCUUCAAUAUUUUUGCUCAUGCCGAUUUUGCAAUUCCUGUUUCCCUUAAAUAAGAAAUUAACACGCUGGGCUUGUUCAUAAUAAGUCAUAAGAAAAUCUUAUAUUUUAAACAUAAACUCUUGCAUGAAAUAUAUUCAUAAUUCAGCCAGCAGAGGAGAGGUAAGCAUCUUAUUCAGGCAUUGGAGCAACAAGCCCCUUAUAUUUGGGAGCGGCGUUUUGGACAAAUUUUAGUUGUCGAUUUUAUAGAAGAGUAAUCAAUUCAACAUGUUGGAAUGACACAGCUGCACAUGUCCGAAAAAACAAAACAAAACAACAACACCCCUCCAUCAUCAUCCUUCUACUUCCUGUCGUCUUCUUCGAUGUCUGGGCCAGUAGAAACGUCGGGUUGUUGAUCACGUGACUCCUGUGAUGCAAAAAAAAAAAAGUGUUGACGUUUUCCGAAAUAAAUCUAUUUCAAUACGGUCAAAAAAACCACCUGGUUGUUGCGGAAAGUGCCUCCACUAUAUGUGAUAACGAGCUCUAUAAGUACUGUGUAUGUUGUGUGUGGGUGAGGAAGAUACGAGGCUUCCGGUCCUCCCGUCAGAAGGGGGCGCUGCGUGCUGUAACCCGCCUGCUUUGGAGCGACUAAGAGACGGUAGUUAGGGAAAGUGUGUUCGGCCUGUAGUUGUUAAGGAAGCUGUUAAAUUGGUCUCUUCAGUGCCACCGCGUGUUUUGUGUUCUUCGCCCCUAUAAGUGAGGGAGCUAACCCGGAAGACGAGUCCUACUUCGGCCUGGAGGAAAUAUCUCCCCUGUGUUUUCGGACUACGGUCUGAAGACCGAAGCAAGAACGGCUAACAUCCUAGCGCAAAAGGUUUUUCAUAUUUUUUUGAAAAACGGUUAAUGUAAACGCAGCGGGUCGCCAUAGAGACCACCCGCUGUUGAGAAGAGGUUCUUCUUCUGCGCCAUUUGCAGAUGAAACCACGUGCCUUCUGUUCAGGCCAGGAAGAGCUAAGUGUAACUCUUCAGCGCCGGAGCUAAAGAGUCGCAGGGAGGCGUGGUGUCGGUACUCACAGGUGAAUGGGGCUCGGUUGACAUGUGGGACAAACCCCGUCAUCCCUGCUGACCUCCAGCACCGCGUCCGGG